GGCCCGGUGGCAGAGUGGCUAUGCAGCGGACUGCAAAUCCGUUUACGUCGGUUCGAUUCCGGCCCGGGCCUCCA
rnacentral:tRNA from 1 species